UAUACUUGCAAAAAAAUCACUCAUAAGUAGAUGUUAACCGAAUAUCAGAGACUAUUACUACUUGCAGAAUAAUUUUGUUAGAAUUAAAAAAAGCCUUAAGUAAGAAUUAAAAGUACAAGAUUUAUAUUUUAUUGAAAUGAAGAACAUAUUUAAUCCAAAAAGAAUUGAAAAAAAAAAUAUAAAGACGACAAAUGAGAUAUUAGAAAAGUAAAUAAUACAAUAUACCAAUUGCUUGUGGCUACAGAACAGAAAGGAAAUAAAAACGUUAGGUGUAGUGGCUAAAUUUACAAGAUAGUAGGGGCUGUCUGGCUGAAGUUAAUGUGUUCUACUUUGUUUUUGAAAGGAUCCGUGACUUGAUGAUUCCUCUCUUGAAUCGAUUAUCUAUCGUUGUUUUGCAGGUUGAGGUGGUUGAUCGGUGGGUUUGGAAACUUCAUCCUUCCCAACGAUACAUGUUGUUUGGAAGAUCAAGACUGCUUAUUUUUUCAAUGCGACUUUUACAGCGGUUUUGGAGUCAUAUGGCUGGAAUAAAUAUUGGAUGGAUUGAGUCUUGGAGCAAAAGAAAGGGACUUGGAGCCGA